UGCAGUCGAGCGGACAGAAGGGAGCUUGCUCCCGGAUGUUAGCGGCGGCACGGGUGAGUAACACGUGGGUAACCUGCCUGUAAGACUGGGAUAACUCCGGGAAACCGGAGCUAAUACCGGAUAGUUCCUUGAACCGCAUGGUUCAAGGAUGAAAGACGGUUUCGGCUGUCACUUACAGAUGGACCCGCGGCGCAUUAGCUAGUUGGUGGGGUAAUGGCUCACCAAGGCGACGAUGCGUAGCCGACCUGAGAGGGUGAUCGGCCACACUGGGACUGAGACACGGCCCAGACUCAUACGGGAGGCAGCAGUAGGGAAUCUUCCGCAAUGGACGAAAGUCUGACGGAGCAACGCCGCGUGAGUGAUGAAGGUUUUCGGAUCGUAAAGCUCUGUUGUUAGGGAAGAACAAGUGCGAGAGUAACUGCUCGCACCUUGACGGUACCUAACCAGAAAGCCACGGCUAACUACGUGCCAGCAGCCGCGGUAAUACGUAGGUGGCAAGCGUUGUCCGGAAUUAUUGGGCGUAAAGGGCUCGCAGGCGGUUUCUUAAGUCUGAUGUGAAAGCCCCCGGCUCAACCGGGGAGGGUCAUUGGAAACUGGGAAACUUGAGUGCAGAAGAGGAGAGUGGAAUUCCACGUGUAGCGGUGAAAUGC
rnacentral:rRNA from 1 species